rnacentral:rRNA from 1 species
UUAUCCGGAAUGAUUGGGCGUAAAGGGUGCGUAGGUGGCAGUACAAGUCUGGAGUAAAAGGUAUGGGCUCAACCCGUACUGGCUCUGGAAACUGUUCAGCUAGAGAACAGAAGAGGACGGCGGAACUCCAUGUGUAGCGGUAAAAUGCGUAGAUAUAUGGAAGAACACCGGUGGCGAAGGCGGCCGUCUGGUCUGUUGCUGACACUGAAGCACGAAAGCGUGGGGAGCAAAUAGGAUUAGAUACCCUAGUAGUCCACGCCGUAAACGAUGAGAACUAGGUGUUGGGGGAAUAACUCAGUGCCGCAGUUAACGCAAUAAGUUCUCCGCCUGGGGAGUAUGCACGCAAGUGUGAAACUCAAAGGAAUUGACGGGGGCCCGCACAAGCGGUGGAGUAUGUGGUUUAA